rnacentral:rRNA from 1 species
GGUGCUUGCAUCAUGAUUUACAUUUGAGUGAGUGGCGAACUGGUGAGUAACACGUGGGAAACCUGCCCAGAAGCGGGGGAUAACACCUGGAAACAGAUGCUAAUACCGCAUAACAACUUGGACCGCAUGGUCCGAGUUUGAAAGAUGGCUUCGGCUAUCACUUUUGGAUGGUCCCGCGGCGUAUUAGCUAGAUGGUGAGGUAACGGCUCACCAUGGCAAUGAUACGUAGCCGACCUGAGAGGGUAAUCGGCCACAUUGGGACUGAGACACGGCCCAAACUCCUACGGGAGGCAGCAGUAGGGAAUCUUCCACAAUGGACGAAAGUCUGAUGGAGCAACGCCGCGUGAGUGAAGAAGGGUUUCGGCUCGUAAAACUCUGUUGUUAAAGAAGAACAUAUCUGAGAGUAACUGUUCAGGUAUUGACGGUAUUUAACCAGAAAGCCACGGCUAACUACGUGCCAGCAGCCGCGGUAAUACGUAGGUGGCAAGCGUUGUCCGGAUUUAUUGGGCGUAAAGCGAGCGCAGGCGGUUUUUUAAGUCUGAUGUGAAAGCCUUCGGCUCAACCGAAGAAGUGCAUCGGAAACUGGGAGACUUGAGUGCAGAAGAGGACAGUGGAACUCCAUGUGUAGCGGUGAAAUGCGUAGAUAUAUGGAAGAACACCAGUGGCGAAGGCGGCUGUCUGGUCUGUAACUGACGCUGAGGCUCGAAAGUAUGGGUAGCAAACAGGAUUAGAUACCCUGGUAGUCCAUACCGUAAACGAUGAAUGCUAAGUGUUGGAGGGUUUCCGCCCUUCAGUGCUGCAGCUAACGCAUUAAGCAUUCCGCCUGGGGAGUACGGCCGCAAGGCUGAAACUCAAAGGAAUUGACGGGGGCCCGCACAAGCGGUGGAGCAUGUGGUUUAAUUCGAAGCUACGCGAAGAACCUUACCAGGUCUUGACAUACUAUGCAAAUCUAAGAGAUUAGACGUUCCCUUCGGGGACAUGGAUACAGGUGGUGCAUGGUUGUCGUCAGCUCGUGUCGUGAGAUGUUGGGUUAAGUCCCGCAACGAGCGCAACCCUU